UUUAUUUUUAUAAUAUGGUACGAAAAAUUCAAAACAAGAAAGAUAUUUGUAAGCAUUCUGAAUCAAGUUUUAUAUUGAAACAAUGUAAGGAUGCAAAUAAUAUACAAACCUCACCACAAGAUUCUGAAAUGCCAACUACAGAGGAUCUUUUAAAUAAAAUAAUAAAUCCUGUUAAUUGCUUGAAAAAAGAUAUUGGUUAUAAUGAUAUUUUAAAAUUAGACAAUUCUCUAGACAAGGAAAAUGUCAAUCCUUGUAAUUCAAAAAGGAAAAAUUUUGAAACACCGAAAUCUAAAAAAUAUGAAAUUGAAAAGAUUAAGAUAUUUAGAGAUUUAUUGAAAAAAAUUUUUCAUGAUGAUGAUAAGCAUUAUAUUAUGGGAUUUUUUAAAUCCUUCCAGUAUCAAUUUAAUUCCAUGACAAAUAAGCAAGCAUUUGAUUUCAAGAUAAAAUUUACUGAAAUUUUAGCC